AAAAGAUCCCACUCAUCCCACGGGAGAGAGGCUGUCAGAGAAUGUUGUCCUAAAAUUGAUGGAACCAUUUAUUGACCAGGGAAGGACUGUAACUAUGGACAUUUUCUUAACCCCUCUGUCUUUGGCUAACAGGCUUCUUCAAUGAAAAACAACUGUGCUUGGC